rnacentral:rRNA from 1 species
GAGCGAACGUUAGCGGCACGCCUAACACAUGCAAGUCGCACGAGAAAGGGCUUCGGCCCCGGUAAAGUGGCGCACGGGUGCGUAACACGUAGGCAAUCUACCCUCAGGCGGGGGAUAACGUUCCGAAAGGAACGCUAAUACCGCGUAAGACCACAGCUACUUCGGUAGCAGCGGUCAAAGCUGGCCUCUUCAUGAAAGCUAGCGCCUGGGAAUGAGCCUGCGGCCCAUCAGCUAGUUGGUAAGGUAACGGCUUACCAAGGCAUAGACGGGUAGCUGGUCUGAGAGGAUGAUCAGCCACACUGGCACUGGAACACGGGCCAGACUCCUACGGGAGGCAGCAGUGGGGAAUCUUGGUCAAUGGGCGCAAGCCUGAACCAGCGAUGCCGCGUGAGUGAUGAAGGCCU